rnacentral:tRNA from 1 species
GCUGAUAUGGCUCAGUUGGUAGAGCGCACCCUUGGUAAGGGUGAGGUCCCCAGUUCGACUCUGGGUAUAAGAAACA